rnacentral:SRP_RNA from 2 species
GCUGGGCGUGGUGAUGCAUGCCUGUAGUCCCAGCUACUCAGGAAGCUGAGGUGGGAGGAUCACUUGAGCCUGGGAAGUUGAGGCUGCAGUGAGCUGUGAUAGCACCACUGCACCCCAGCCUGGGCGACAAAGCAAGACCCUGUCUCCA